rnacentral:rRNA from 1 species
AGCGAUGGGGUGACGCAGGAAGGUAGCUGGGCCAGUCAGUGGUUGUACUGGUGUAAGAGUGUAGGCCGUGACAUAGGCGAAUCCGUGUCACAUUAAGGCUGAGACUUGAUGCAUACCCGUUGUGGGGAAUUCAGUGAUCCUAUGCUGCCGAGAAAAGCCUCUAGUGAGUUCAUACACGGCCCGUACCCCAAACCGACACAGGUGAUCAGGUAGAGAAUACCAAGGCGAUCGAGAGAACUGUGGUUAAGGAACUCGGCAAAAUGCCCCCGUAACUUCGGGAGAAGGGGGACCAUGCCCGGUGAACAUCUUCACGGUGGGAGCUGGGUGUGGUCGCAGAGACCAGAGAGAAGCGACUGUUUACUAAAAACACAGGUCCGUGCGGAGACGUAAGUCGAUGUAUACGGACUGACGCCUGCCCGGUGCUGGAAGGUUAAGAGGACCGGUUAGCCGUAAGGCGAAGCUGAGAAUUUAAGCCCCAGUAAACGGCGGUGGUAACUAUAACCAUCCUAAGGUAGCGAAAUUCCUUGUCGGGUAAGUUCCGACCUGCACGAAUGGCGUAACGACUUCUCUGCUGUCUCGACCACAGACUCGGCGAAAUUGCACUACGAGUAAAGAUGCUCGUUACGCGCGGCAGGACGAAAAGACCCCGGGACCUUUACUAUAGCUUGGUAUUGGCGUUCGAUUCGGUUUGUGUAGGAUAGGUGGGAGACUGUGAAGCAUGCACGCCAGUGUGUGUGGAGUCGUUGUUGAAAUACCACUCUGAUCGUAUUGGACGUCUAACCUCGGCCCAUGAUCUGGGUUAGGGACAGUGCCUGGUGGGUAGUUUAACUGGGGCGGUUGCCUCCUAAAGAGUAACGGAGGCGCCCAAAGGUUCCCUCAGCCUGGAUGGCAAUCAGGUGUUGAGUGCAAGUGCACAAGGGAGCUUGACUGUGAGACUGACACGUCGAGCAGGGACGAAAGUCGGGACUAGUGAUCCGGCACCGGCAAGUGGAAGCGGUGUCGCUCAACGGAUAAAAGGUACCCCGGGGAUAACAGGCUGAUCUUCCCCAAGAGUCCAUAUCGACGGGAUGGUUUGGCACCUCGAUGUCGGCUCGUCGCAUCCUGGGGCUGGAGUAGGUCCCAAGGGUUGGGCUGUUCGCCCAUUAAAGCGGCACGCGAGCUGGGUUUAGAACGUCGUGAGACAGUUCGGUCUCUAUCCGCCGCGCGCGUAAGAAACUUGAGGAAGGCUGUCCCUAGUACGAGAGGACCGGGACGGACGAACCUCUGGUGUGCCAGUUGUUCCACCAGGAGCAUGGCUGGUUAGCUACGUUCGGAAGGGAUAACCGCUGAAAGCAUCUAAGCGGGAAGCCUGUUCCAAGAUGAGGUUUCUCACCACCUUGCGUGGUUAAGGCCCCCUACAGACCAUGGGGUUGAUAGGCCGGAACUGGAAGCGCAGCAAUGCGUGGAGGUGACCGGUACUAAUAGGCCGAGGGCUUACU